rnacentral:rRNA from 1 species
AGAGUUUGAUCCUGGCUCAGGAUGAACGCUAGCGGGAGGCCUAACACAUGCAAGUCGAACGGGAUCCCCGAGCAAUCGGGGUGAGAGUGGCGCACGGGUGAGUAACGCGUAUGCAACCUACCUUUAACUGAGGGAUAGCCCAUAGAAAUGUGGAUUAAUACCUCAUAGUUCUUUUGUUCCGCAUGGGAUGAAAGAUAAAGCUCCGGCGGUUAAAGAUGGGCAUGCGUGACAUUAGCUAGUUGGUGAGGUAACGGCUCACCAAGGCUACGAUGUCUAGGGGUUCUGAGAGGAUGAUCCCCCACACUGGUACUGAGACACGGACCAGACUCCUACGGGAGGCAGCAGUGAGGAAUAUUGGUCAAUGGGCGCAAGCCUGAACCAGCCAUCCCGCGUGCAGGAUGACGGCCCUAUGGGUUGUAAACUGCUUUUAUACACCAAGAAAAACUCCCACGUGUGGGAGCCCGACGGUAGUGUAUGAAUAAGCAUCGGCUAACUCCGUGCCAGCAGCCGCGGUAAUACGGAGGAUGCAAGCGUUAUCCGGAUUCAUUGGGUUUAAAGGGUGCGUAGGCGGCUUUUUAAGUCAGUGGUGAAAUCCUGUCGCUUAACGAUAGAAUUGCCAUUGAUACUGAGAAGCUUGAGUACAGUUGAGGUAAGCGGAAUGUGUAGUGUAGCGGUGAAAUGCUUAGAUAUUACACAGAACACCGAUUGCGAAGGCAGCUUACUAAACUGUUACUGACGCUGAUGCACGAAAGCGUGGGGAGCGAACAGGAUUAGAUACCCUGGUAGUCC